UACAGAGGGUGCGAGCGUUGUUCGGAAUUAUUGGGCGUAAAGCGCUUGUAGGCGGCUUGUUAAGUCGCGUGUGAAAUCCCCAGGCUUAACCUGGGAAGUGCGCGCGAAACUGGCGAGCUUGAGUGCCGGAGAGGGUCGCGGAAUUCCCGGUGUAGAGGUGAAAUUCGUAGAUAUCGGGAGGAACACCAGUGGCGAAGGCGGCGACCUGGACGGACACUGACGCUGAGACGCGAAAGCGUGGGGAGCAAACAGG
rnacentral:rRNA from 1 species